UGCCAGGGAGGGGUAUGAGAGUACGGUCUGUGGUGAGAGCUGGGUCACAACCAGCAGCCAACACUGGCAAAAGGUUGCCAGCCCCUGCCUUUGAUCACUUACCCAGGAGUGGAGCCCUCUAGGUUCUCUUCAGCCUAAGAGGAUUCAAACCCACAUCUCCCACUUUCCAGAUCUCCCUUUCCUGCCUCCCAGCUCCAGAAGGCCUCUCAUCUAUGAAGACGUUUGGCAGUGUUUGCUAGACAUUUAAAGCUGGUGAUGAAACAGGAAUCAUUGGAAAUCGGAAAGAAAGAUGUUGCUCAGCUGUGGGAGUGAAGAGGAAGUUGAAAUGUAUUUGACAUAGCAGUUCACCAUGAACUGAAAAAGAGUCAGCACUGAGGGACUGUGCACAAUGGAUACUAUUGAGAUGGACUGUGCUAACCUAGCCUUGUGAUGAUGGUCAUGAUGGGCAUGAUGUUUGGAAAUAAUGGUGCAGUGCAGACCACUGUUUAUGUGGCAUGUUAAAGCUUGGAAGUACCUUUGCAGGACCAUCCAUCAGAACAAGGAAGUUUUUUUACCUCCCUGCCUGCCACCUCCAGGGAAGGAAUUCUACCUGAU